rnacentral:rRNA from 1 species
GGGGAAUAUUGGGCAAUGGGCGAAAGCCUGACCCAGCAACGCCGCGUGAAGGAAGAAGGCUUUCGGGUUGUAAACUUCUUUGACAGGGGAAGAGUAGAAGACGGUACCCUGAAAACAAGCCACGGCUAACUACGUGCCAGCAGCCGCGGUAAUACGUAGGUGGCAAGCGUUGUCCGGAUUUACUGGGUGUAAAGGGCGUGCAGCCGGGAAGGCAAGUCAGAUGUGAAAUCCGUGGGCUUAACCCACGAACUGCAUUUGAAACUGCUUUUCUUGAGUAUCGGAGAGGUAAUCGGAAUUCCUAGUGUAGCGGUGAAAUGCGUAGAUAUUAGGAAGAACACCAGUGGCGAAGGCGGAUUACUGGACGACAACUGACGGUGAGGCGCGAAAGCGUGGGGAGCAAAC